UACGAAGGGUGCAAGCGUUACUCGGAAUUACUGGGCGUAAAGUGUGCGCAGGCGGCCGAGCAAGUCGAGUGUGAAAGCCCCGAGCUUAACUUGGGAACUGCGCUCGAAACUACUUGGCUGGAGUGUGGCAGAGGAAGGUGGAAUUCCCGGUGUAGCGGUGAAAUGCGUAGAGAUCGGGAGGAACAUCAGUGGCGAAGGCGGCCAUCUGGGACACACUGACGCUGAGGCACGAAAGCGUGGGGAGCAAACAGGG
rnacentral:rRNA from 1 species